AGAGUUUGAUCCUGGCUCAGGAUGAACGCUGGCGGCGUGCCUAAUACAUGCAAGUCGAGCGAACGGACGAGAAGUUUGCUUCUCUGAUGUUAGCGGCGGACGGGUGAGUAACACGUGGAUAACCUACCUAUAAGACUGGGAUAACUUCGGGAAACCGGAGCUAAUACCGGAUAAUAUUUUGAACCGCAUGGUUCAAAAGUGAAAGACGGUCUUGCUGUCACUUAUAGAUGGAUCCGCGCUGCAUUAGCUAGUUGGUAAGGUAACGGCUUACCAAGGCAACGAUGCAUAGCCGACCUGAGAGGGUGAUCGGCCACACUGGAACUGAGACACGGUCCAGACUCCUACGGGAGGCAGCAGUAGGGAAUCUUCCGCAAUGGGCGAAAGCCUGACGGAGCAACGCCGCGUGAGUGAUGAAGGUCUUCGGAUCGUAAAACUCUGUUAUUAGGGAAGAACAUAUGUGUAAGUAACUGUGCACAUCUUGACGGUACCUAAUCAGAAAGCCACGGCUAACUACGUGCCAGCAGCCGCGGUAAUACGUAGGUGGCAAGCGUUAUCCGGAAUUAUUGGGCGUAAAGCGCGCGUAGGCGGUUUUUUAAGUCUGAUGUGAAAGCCCACGGCUCAACCGUGGAGGGUCAUUGGAAACUGGAAAACUUGAGUGCAGAAGAGGAAAGUGGAAUUCCAUGUGUAGCGGUGAAAUGCGCAGAGAUAUGGAGGAACACCAGUGGCGAAGGCGACUUUCUGGUCUGUAACUGACGCUGAUGUGCGAAAGCGUGGGGAUCAAACAGGAUUAGAUACCCUGGUAGUCCACGCCGUAAACGAUGAGUGCUAAGUGUUAGGGGGUUUCCGCCCCUUAGUGCUGCAGCUAACGCAUUAAGCACUCCGCCUGGGGAGUACGACCGCAAGGUUGAAACUCAAAGGAAUUGACGGGGACCCGCACAAGCGGUGGAGCAUGUGGUUUAAUUCGAAGCAACGCGAAGAACCUUACCAAAUCUUGACAUCCUUUGACAACUCUAGAGAUAGAGC
rnacentral:rRNA from 5 species